GUCGAGAAUCUUUCACAAUGGGGGCAACCCUGAUGGAGCGACGCCGCGUGGAGGAUAAGGUCUUCGGAUUGUAAACUCCUGUCAUGCGUGAACAAGGUUGCUUGGAUAAUACCUGAGCAAAUUGAUGGUAGCGCAAGAGGAAGAGACGGCUAACUCUGUGCCAGCAGCCGCGGUAAUACAGAGGUCUCAAGCGUUGUUCGGAAUCACUGGGCGUAAAGGGUGCGUAGGUGGCGUGGUAAGUCAGAUGUGAAAGCACGGGGCUCAACCUAGGAACUGCAACCGAUACUGCGAUGGUAGAGUACUGGAGAGGUGACUAGAAUUCUAGGUGUAGCAGUGAAAUGCGUAGAUAUCGAGAGGAAUACCAAAGGCGUAGGCAGGUCACUGGACAGUUACUGACACUGAGGCACGAAGGCCAGGGGAGCGAACGGGAUUAGAAACCCCUGUAGUCC
rnacentral:rRNA from 1 species